GGGCGUGUGGUCUAGUGGUAUGAUUCUCGCUUUGGGGUUGCGAGAGGCCCUGGGUUCAAUUCCCAGCUCGCCCC
rnacentral:tRNA from 1 species